ACCCCGUCUUGAAACACGGACCAAGGAGUCUAGCAUGUGCGCGAGUCAUUGGGAACUAAUAAACCCAGAGGCGCAAUGAAAGUGAACAGCGCCGAUUUCGGUCGGCCGCAGGGAAGAUGGCCCACGGCAAGCCCGCGGGCCCGCAUUCCCGAGGCGUUUCGAGAAAUGCCAUCGUUGCGAUUAUCGAGACGCACUGAGAGCGCACACGCUGGGACCCGAAAGAUGGUGAACUAUGCCUGGUCAGGUCGAAGUCAGGGGAA
rnacentral:rRNA from 1 species